GCCUAACACAUGCAAGUCGAGCGCGAAAAUACUUCGGUAUGAGUAGAGCGGCGGACGGGUGAGUAACGCGUAGGAAUCUAUCCAGUAGUGGGGGACAACAUGGGGAAACCCAUGCUAAUACCGCAUACGUCCUAAGGGAGAAAGCGGGGGAUCUUCGGACCUCGCGCUAUUGGAGGAGCCUGCGUUGGAUUAGCUUGUUGGUGAGG
rnacentral:rRNA from 1 species